rnacentral:rRNA from 1 species
GACGAACGCUGGCGGCGUGCUUAACACAUGCAAGUCGAACGGAAAGGCCCUGCUUUUGUGGGGUGCUCGAGUGGCGAACGGGUGAGUAACACGUGAGUAACCUGCCCUUGACUUUGGGAUAACUUCAGGAAACUGGGGCUAAUACCGGAUAGGAGCUCCUGCUGCAUGGUGGGGGUUGGAAAGUUUCGGCGGUUGGGGAUGGACUCGCGGCUUAUCAGCUUGUUGGUGGGGUAGUGGCUUACCAAGGCUUUGACGGGUAGCCGGCCUGAGAGGGUGACCGGCCACAUUGGGACUGAGAUACGGCCCAGACUCCUACGGGAGGCAGCAGUGGGGAAUAUUGCACAAUGGGCGGAAGCCUGAUGCAGCAACGCCGCGUGCGGGAUGACGGCCUUCGGGCUGUAAACCGCUUUCGCCUGUGACGAAGCGUGAGUGACGGUAAUGGGUAAAGAAGCACCGGCUAACUACGUGC